GGAAGCCCCAUAGCUCAGUGGUUAGAGCACCUGCUUUGCAUUCAGGAGGUCCCCUGUUCAAUUCCUGGCAUCUCCA